rnacentral:rRNA from 1 species
AGAGUUUGAUCAUGGCUCAGAUUGAACGCUGGCGGCAGGCUUAACACAUGCAAGUCGAGCGGGGAAAGGUACUUUGCUACCUGACCUAGCGGCGGACGGGUGAGUAAUGCUUAGGAAUCUGCCUAUUAGUGGGGGACAACAUCCCGAAAGGGAUGCUAAUACCGCAUACGUCCUACGGGAGAAAGCAGGGGACCUUCGGGCCUUGCGCUAAUAGAUGAGCCUAAGUCGGAUUAGCUAGUUGGUGGGGUAAAGGCCUACC